rnacentral:rRNA from 1 species
GACGAACGCUGGCGGCGUGCUUAACACAUGCAAGUCGAACGGAAAGGCCCUGCUUUUGUGGGGUGCUCGAGUGGCGAACGGGUGAGUAACACGUGAGUAACCUGCCCUUGACUUUGGGAUAACUUCAGGAAACUGUGGCUAAUACCGGAUAGGAGCUCCUGCUGCAUGGUGGGGGUUGGAAAGUUUCGGCGGUUGGGGAUGGACUCGCGGCUUAUCAGCUUGUUGGUGGGGUAGUGGCUUACCAAGGCUUUGACGGGUAGCCGGCCUGAGAGGGUGACCGGCCACAUUGGGACUGAGAUACGGCCCAGACUCAUACGGGAGGCAGCAGUGGGGAAUAUUGCACAAUGGGCGGAAGCCGGAUGCAGCAACGCCGCGUGCGGGAUGACGGCCUUCGGGUUGUAAACCGCUUUCGCCUGUGACGAAGCGUGAGUGACGGUAAUGGGUAAAGAAGCACCGGCUAACUACGUG